UUACCCCUACGGGACGCAGCAGUGAGGAAUAUUGGUCAAUGGACGCAAGUCUGAACCAGCCAUGCCGCGUGCAGGAAGACGGCUCUAUGAGUUGUAACCUGCUUUUGUACGAGGGUAAACGCAGAUACGUGUAUCUGUCUGAAAGUAUCGUACGAAUAAGGAUCGGCUAACUCCGUGCCAGCAGCCGCGGUAAUACGGAGGAUUCAAGCGUUAUCCGGAUUUAUUGGGUUUAAAGGGUGCGUAGGCGGUCGGAUAAGUUAGAGGUGAAAUCCCGAGGCUCAACUUCGGAAUUGCUUGUGCUACUG
rnacentral:rRNA from 1 species